GAUGAACGCUGGCGGCGUGCCUAAUACAUGCAAGUCGAGCGAACGGACGAGAAGCUUGCUUCUCUGACGUUAGCGGCGGACGGGUGAGUAACACGUGGAUAACCUACCUAUAAGACUGGGAUAACUUCGGGAAGCCGGAGCUAAUACCGGAUAAUAUUUUGAACCGCAUGGUUCAAAAGUGAAAGACGGUCUUGCUGUCACUUAUAGAUGGAUCCGCGCUGCAUUAGCUAGUUGGUAAGGUAACGGCUUACCAAGGCAACGAUGCAUAGCCGACCUGAGAGGGUGAUCGGCCACACUGGAACUGCGACACGGUCCAGACUCCUACGGGAGGCAGCAGUAGGGAAUCUUCCGCAAUGGGCGAAAGCCUGACGGAGCAACGCCGCGUGAGUGAUGAAGGUCUUCGGAUCGUAAAACUCUGUUAUUAGGGAAGAACAUAUGUGUAAGUAACUGUGCACAUCUUGACGGUACCUAAUCAGAAAGCCACGGCUAACUACGUG
rnacentral:rRNA from 1 species